rnacentral:snRNA from 1 species
UGUCCUCCACAGGAGGUCUAUAUUGAGCAGAUUCUUUUUGGUAUUGGGUGGUGGAACCGGAGCAUGCUCCAUCCACUCCAUGCAUUGACCUGGUAUUACACGCUUCCAGGACCAGUGC